rnacentral:misc_RNA from 1 species
GAGGACUCGGCAACGCUGCAUGCGCUCCAAACGCUGUAGAAGUCAACGUAGUUGCGAAUAGAAGAAGCGGUGAUAUAUUUAUUAUAGUUAGAUUAAUUUUUUAGUAAAUUCAGCAUCUUCCGAUGCAAAAUUAACAAUAAUACAUAUACGAAACUGCAAUACCAAAUAAUUCAAGAUGCGGGAGUACAAAAUUGUAGUGCUGGGUUCGGGUGGCGUAGGUAAAUCGGCGUUAACAGUGCAAUUCGUGCAAGGUAUAUUCGUAGAAAAAUAUGACCCAACGAUAGAAGAUAGUUAUAGAAAACAAGUGGAAGUUGAUGGGCAACAGUGCAUGUUGGAAAUUCUAGACACAGCUGGAACGGAACAAUUCACUGCAAUGAGGGACUUGUACAUGAAAAACGGACAGGGUUUCGUAUUGGUCUAUUCAAUUACUGCCCAGUCGACGUUUAACGAUCUUCAAGACCUCCGAGAACAAAUCCUUAGAGUCAAGGACACUGAUGAUGUUCCAAUGGUAUUAGUUGGUAACAAAUGCGAUCUAGAAGAUGAACGAGUGGUGGGCAAAGAGCAGGGGAAUGCCCUGUCGCGCCAGUUCAACUGUGCCUUUAUGGAAACUUCUGCCAAAGCAAAAAUAAAUGUUCAUGAUAUAUUUUAUGAUCUAGUUCGACAAAUUAAUAAAAAAUCGCCGAAGAGGAAAGAGCCCAAGAAAAGGAAACCGAUCUGUGCACUCCUGUAAAAUAACUUCACUUGGAACCAAAAAGUAAAUUUUUAAAAAGGUUCAGGAAUUGGAUAUUUUAUGAUCUAGUUCGACAAAUAAAUAAAAAAUCUCCAGAGAAGAAACACAUCAAGAAAAAGAAAUCGCUUUGUGCGCUCCUGUAAAAUAACUUCUGGAACCAAAAAAAAAACAAAAAGAAGUACAUUUUAAAACAAAUUUCAAAACUUUUAAAGACUAAGGUGGAAAAAGUGUAGAAGCCUGAGGCAAGUGCGGACUCGCAAUGCAACAUAGUCAAAAAUUACAUUACUGAUAGCCCUAUUAUUUCUCUCCACAUGUUUUUUUUCUAUAAAUCGAGGUUGUUAACUAACUAUAGCGGCAAUUUUAGUGAUAGAGUAUUUAAAAUACUGCCAAUUUUGUGGUGUCAAAUAGACGUAGGUCUCACAGCCAGGUGCCUGCGAUUUUUCAACCGUAUGUGGAUAAUAGAAACCGCUUUAGGGCCUGGUAUUUGAAAAUGAAGAGAAAAUUGUUUCCUUGCCUGUCGAAUCAUUUUCAUAUGUGAUUUUUACGGCUCUUAUUACCAUUCAGACAAGUAGUUUUUAGUGGACGCAUCUGAUCGCCUGGUUAUCGUGGUUCUGUUUAAUUUCGAUAUUUUAUUUUUAUGUUCAUCGAGGGUGAAUAACGGUCCGCUUAUGUGGAUUUUUUAAUUAAAAAUUGCACAAAAGCUAAUACAGAGCUCUUCAGUUUAUAGCUUUUUAUAAUCAAAGCUUUGAAGUCGACUAAAAAAUCUCCAUAUUACGUUCAAUCCAUUUAUCAGAAAGAAAAUUUCAUUAUAUACUCACAAAAUCGAGUAAUUUCUUUUAAAAUUAUUAAGUUGACUUUAAGGACUUCAUAAUUUAAAAAUACUAGAAAAUAAAUGUCAUUAAACUGUAACUAAGACUAACAAAACAUUACCACACUCGGGCCUUAUUUAUCGAAUACACAGUUAUUUUUGACCACAUUUUCAAUUUUUUUAUACACAAGAACGUAAUUUAUCUUUAAGAGUAUUCGCCACUACUUAUAACAUGUCUUUACUUGCUUUAAAGAUUUCUGACACAAAAAUUGGCGGGAUUUAAACACUUUUGGCCCAUUCUAUGUGAUAGUGACCCUUGGUGCUUUAAAACAAAUAAAGUUUCUUCCAAUUAAGCUUUGUUUUUUGUUCAGGUUCAAAACUCUUCUAUAUAAGCAGUGGCGUUUAUAUCAAAUUGACAAUAUUUUAGUUAUUUUUUUGAAAAGUGAUGUACAGGGUGUGAGCGAUUUCAAAGAACUUAUUGAUGGCUGGCAAUUAAAUUAUCUCAAUAUAUUUUUAACUUCAUAAGUGGUUAUAUAUUAUUUGUACAGGGUGGUUAGUAAUUUUUUUCAUUUUAAAGUGCAAUAUGCGGCGAAGAAGGUUUUUUUUGCAUUUAGAUUAAACAAUAGAUAAUUUUUCAUAAAAUAAUCACUCUGUACGUAGUAGAUGCCUAUGUAUAAAAUGAAAAUUGUAUUUUUGUCUAUAUCUAUGAGUUCACAUAGCUUUUACAUUUCACAGCUACUUAUUAUAUUACUAUUAUUAUUAUUAUUAUUAUAACUUGAUAUACAAAUGUGUUUAUUUUAUGUAUUUAUAACAAAUAUUGAAUUUUAUAUUAUGAAUAGUUGCCGAAUGAACUUGUAUAAAUGAUUCUGUCUUUAAAAUAAGCUUACGUUUUGUUAAUGAUUUAAUUAAGGGAAACUUCGAAGAUAAUCACAAAGCUUGUAACUUUUUACUUUUAAAUAAAUUACUGGUCCCAUAAAACUAUUA